UAAAACCUACUAAACCAGUGAAAUUGUCCAUGUAUUCUUAAAACUUCGGGACGUAAGCGCCACCUCAGAAGUAUCAUUGGAUCGUUUAUUAGUGCAUUACAAAAAAAGCGGUGGCACCCAUGAUUAUAAAUGGCAGUGUACUUAUGAAGUCCAUUUAAGCACAAAUAUGGUGCUUGAAUUGUUUCCCAUAUCCCUAUUUGGUUUUGUCUGUACAUGUAUGUCACAAGAUCAACCCUUUCAGUGCUGGAACCGAAUUUUGGCGUUUCAUCAGGAUCGCAACUGUUUGCUAUUAUGAUGGUAGUCUUUAAAAAAAAAAACGAAGAAAAUGACAGUUUUAAAAAUUAUGCAGACGGUAUUUUAGCAGACGACAAAAAUCCCAGCAUGCAAAUGCUAAAUGAAUCUAUAACAGUAAAUGAAUCCAUAACAGUAUUCUCAUUUUGAUAAGCUUUGAUAGAUUUGAUUGCAGUGCAAAACCUAAUAUAUUUAUCAAUAUAAUUUUAAUUUAUUCAUGCUUGAAGGUUUGCUACUAAAUGUCGGUUAAAUAGUAAGGAUCUAACAUGAGUUGUGACAUUUCUUACAAUCUUUUAUGAAACAAGUUUAGGAAUUAAUUUUAAAAAGAAACAUUCUUUAUAAAUGUCUUAUACAAAACAUGUUGAUAAAUACAAGUAUAAUACUUACACCACACAACUAUUUAAAGUUUGCCAAGUAUAUCUGCAUUUGAUUUGGUGAAGUAAAAUAAGCCAAUAAGAAUGCUAUGAAAAAAUUAUGUUGACAAAUAUUUUGAAACUUACACCAGUAAAGAAGCUUGAAGUGUCAUAUGCAUUGUGCAAUGAUGUGUACUUUUAGCUGUUUUACAGAUGUGGUCCAUGUUGCCCUGCAUUAUCCCUUUCAGUGCGGGAACCGAAUUUUGAAGGCCUUUGCAAACAGUUUGGAUCCAGAUGAGACGCCACAGAACAUGGCGUCUCAUCAGGAUCCAAACUGUUUGCUAUUCUGAUAGUAUUCUGUGAAAAAAAUCGAAGAAAAUGCUAAUUUUAGAAAUUCAGCAGACGACAUUUUAGCAGACGACAAAUUUCCCAGCAUGCAAAGGGUUAAUACCAGAAUGUGUCAUCAUAAGCUCAUAAAUUGCACAAAACCUUAACAUUAAUACAAAUAUGUUGCUAAUUAUAUGUUGGGAAAUAGCUACACAUACACAACAUUUACUUUGUGUUGCUUUUUUUUCUUCUUCUACAAAGAACACAUUUUGGGUCAUCAUUUGUUUUAUACCUUUAUACUAAUAUAUUUAAUGAAUUCACAAUUGAACUUAUGGUAAAAAAAGUCACGGUGCAAAUUUAAAGGCUGUAUGCAUUACAGGCAUAUACAUCAGCAUAAAUUAAAGUUUCAUGUUCCUUCAUUUAGUUUUCGUAUGGUCGAAAAUUUCUGUUAAGUAGCGACUUUAUUGUUUUUAUGAUUAAAUUUCUUCAUGUGGUCAUCAGUCUAAGUGUUGGGGAUUUCAGUUCAGUCUGAGUAUUAGAGGUUUCAGUUCAGUCUAAGUGUUGGGGGUUUCAGUUCAGUCUAAGUGUUGGGGGUUUCAGUUCAGUCUGAGUGUUGGGGGUUUCAGUUCAGUCUGAGUGUUGGGGGUUUCAGUUCAGUCUAAGUGUUGGGGGUUUCAGUUCAGUCUAAGUGUUGGGGGUUUCAGUUCAGUCUGAGUGUUGGGGGUUUCAGUUCAGUCUGAGUGUUGGGGGUUUCAGUUCAGUCUAAGUGUUGGGGGUUUCAGUUCAGUCUAAGUGUUGGGGGUUUCAGUUCAGUCUAAGUGUUGGGGGUUUCAGUUCAGUCUGAGUGUUGGGGGUUUCAGUUCAAUCUGAGUGUUGGGGGUUUCAGUUCAGUCUGAGUGUUGGGGGUUUCAGUUCAGUCUAAGUGUUGGGGGUUUCAGUUCAGUCUGAGUGUUGGGGGUUUCAGUUCAGUCUGAGUGUUAGAGGUUUCAGUUCAGUCUAAGUGUUCGGGGUUUCAGUUCAGUCUAAGUGUUGGGGGUUUCAGUUCAGUCUGAGUGUUGGGAGUUUCAGUUCAUUGUGUUGGGGGUUUCAGUUCAUUGUGUUGGGGGUUUCAGUUCAUUGUGUUGGGGGUUUCAGUUCAUUGUGUAGGGGGUUUCAGUUCAGUCUGAGUGUUGGGGGUUUCAGUUCAUUGUGUUGGGAGUUUCAGUUCAUUGUGUUGGGGGUUUCAGUUCAUUGUGUUGGGGGUUUCAGUUCAUUGUGUAUUAUUUUGAAAGGUGUUGAUACUAAAAACAUAGUGGUUGUUUUUUUUCUUCUUCUAGUUUUCUCUCCGUGAUUGAUUUCCUAUUCUUUAAAUUUGUGUAUUUAUUUUCUUUACAAUUAUAGAUAUGAAUCAUUCACAUUUCUUCCCUUUGAUAUGGCAAGUAUUGUAAUCCGUUGUCUCUUAACUUUUGUAUUUGAUAUUUGAUUCCUGGGCAGCAAAAUUUCAAUACUGUGUCAACUGUGUGUGUUUUUGUUUGUUUACUACUUAUAGUGAACUAGAAAAUUUCUAUAAUGAUAUCCUUCUAUGGUCAAUUAUUCUGGAUAUCCCUUUAUAAGGCACAAUUUGAGUUGUGUUUUGACUUAUUAAUAAAAAAUAAAAAUCGUGCAAUAUUAUGAGUAUUCAGUGUCCUUGAGAUGUUUGUGUCGUUUUAAUUCUUUUUGGCCCAUAAAUGGGGUUGAUGGAGGGAACAGAAAUUUGGAUAUGUUAAUAAUGUUUGGGAGGGAAAGGAAUCUGGGAUUUGCCAAUUAAUAACAAUUCUUUAGUUUUAUCCACAGAACCAAGUAAUUUACCAAGUAUUAUACCUUAUAAAAAAAUAGUUCUUUUUUCAAUUACUCAAUCAAUAGGUAAUUUGAUUUAUUACAUUAUCAAUCCAAAUUUAUCAAAUUUUUGUCAUAGUGUAAUUUCAUCACUAUUUUGGUAAUAAUUUUUUUUAUUAUCAUAUAAAGGCAACUUAUUUGUUAAUCUGUAACUCAAUACUGAGGUAGGAUCAGUUAAUCUGUAACUCAAUACUGAAGUAGGAUCAGUUAUUUGUUAAUCUGUAACUCAAUACUGAGGAAGGAUCAGUUAAUCUGUACCUCAAUACUGAGGUAGGAUCAGUUAUUUGUUAAUCUGUACCUCAAUACUGAGGUAGGAUCAGUUAUUUAAGAUAUUUCACAUUGGUGUAGGCUUAUAACAACAAGCUUUUAUUUCAUUUGUUAAUUUCUUAUACACUACUUAUUAUCUGAUGUUUUGAAUAUGAUAAGAAUAUUUAUUUUUUAUGCCCCCGGUAGGAUGGCAUAUAGUGAUCGCACUGUCCGUCUGUCUGUCUGAAAUUCCAUCACACUUUGCAUUUAGGUUUUGCGUUUAGGUUUUGCGUGAAGGUUUCGAUUUCUUUUCUUUCUUUUUUUUUUCAAAGCAGCGCAGUAGGGGGCAUUGUGUUUCUGACAAAAACAUCUCUUGUUCAAAUAAUUUUGGUAUUCAAUAAUUUUAUUAAUGUGAACAUUUAAACUUAUUGUUUCAUAAUUGUUAAUUCAGUGUGUGGUGUGGAGGCUGAGUAUAUUUAUUUAUAAUAUUGUUAAGAAACUAUGUCAAAUCUAAACUUUUUGUGAUUUUGUUUGAAAAUGUUGGAAAUGAUAAGAAUAUUAAGUUUAUCAAAACAUGUUGGUAUUCAAUCAUUUAAGUAACUCUGUUAAUAAUUUGGUGGCUCUGGUGUGUUGGGUAUAGUUCAGGUUGUAUGUACAAAUUUAGAAGCUGAGUAUAUUUAUUCAUAAUAUUGUUAAGAAACUAUGUCAAAUGUAAACUUUUUGUGAUUUUGUUUGGAAAUGAUAAGAAUAUUAAGUUUAUCAAAACAUGUUGGUAUUCAAUCAUUUAAGUAACUCUGUUAAUAAUUUGGUGGCUCUGGUGUGUUGGGUAUAGUUUAGGUUUUAUGUACAAAUUUAGAAGCUGAGUAUAUUUAUUCAUAAUAUUGUUAAGAAACUAUGUCAAAUGUAAAAUUUUUGUGAUUUUGCUUGGGAAUGUUAGAAAUGAUAAGAAUAUUCAAUUUUUCAAAACAUUUUGGUAUUCAAUCAUUUUAGUAACUCUGUUAAUAAUUUGGUGGCUCUGGUGUGUUGGGUAUAGUUUAGGUUUUAUGUACAAAUUUAGAAGCUGAGUAUAUUUAUUCAUAAUAUUGUUAAGAAACUAUGUCAAAUGUAAACUUUUUGUGAUUUUGCUUGGGAAUGUUAGAAAUGAUAAGAAUAUUUAGUUUUUCAAAACAUUUUGGUAUUCAAUCAUUUAAGUAACUCUGUUAAUAAUUUGGUGGCUCUGGUUUGUUGGGUAUAGUUUAUGUUUUAUGUACCAAUUUAUUUAUGAAACUAUGUGGAAAUUGAGAAUGAAGUUGCAUUUGUCCCAAUUUCUGGAUUGAAUGGAGACAACAUGAUUGAAUCAACAGAUAAGAUGCCCUGUUACAAGGGAUGGGCCGUUGAGAGGAAGGAAGGCAAUGUGUCUUGAAAGACCCUGUUUGAGGCUUUCGCCUUGACCAUACUAGAAGCGACUGCUCUGCCACUCCAGGACGCCUACAAAAUUGGAGGUAUUGUAACAGUGCCAAGUGGGGACAGGUAUCCUCAAGCCCGGCAUGGUGGUCACAUUCUCCCCUGCCAACAUCACCACUGAUGUUGGAUUCAAUGUCAACAACAUCUCUGUCAAGGAAAUCAGAACAGGAAACGUCACUGGCGACUCCAAGAACGUAUUUUUUGCUUACCAAACACUUUUUGUAUAUAAAUUGUUACAGCAUUUUUUGUUAUGUCUUUCAUGUAAAUAUAUUUUGCUUGUCUUGUGAUGUAGAUGUCAGAGAUACCAUGGUAAGAAAUCUUGUUGGCCUGAACCACCAUAGAGAUUUCUUCCAUGGUAUCUCUGACAUUUACAUUGCAGACAUUUUUUGUUAUGUGUAAAGUCAGUUUGUAUUUUGUUUGUCUUGUGAUGUAAAUGUCAGAGAUACCAUGGUAAGAAAUCUUGUUGGCCUGAACCACCAUAGAGAUUUCUUCCAUGGUAUCUCUGACAUUUACAUUGCAGACAUUUUUUGUUAUGUGUAAAGUCAGUUUGUAUUUUGUUUGUCUUGUGAUGUAGAUGUCAGAGAUACCAUGGUAAGAAAUCUUGUUGGCCUGACCAACCAUAGAGAUUUCUUCCAUGAUAUCUCUGACAUUUAAAUUGCAGACAUUUUUUGUUAUGUGUUAAGUCAGUUUGUAUUUUGCUUGUCUUGUGAUGUAGAUGUCAGAGAUACCAUGGUAAGAAAUCUUGUUGGCCUGACCAACCAUAGAGAUUUCUUUCAUGAUAUCUCUGACAUUUACAUCGCAGACUUUAUAACUUACUGACUAUAAAACAUUUGUCAAAAGCUUAACUCUUUUUUUUAUAUCUUUAAACUUUAACACCAACAACAAAUUGACUCAUUUAUUUAUUUUUUGCAAAUUAGACAUCUCCCAUUAUUCAAAUCAUUAUGUAGAAAAAAGUACCUGUUUUUUUUUGUUUUUUUUUAAUUAAGCUGUGGGUUUUUACAA